rnacentral:rRNA from 1 species
CACAUGCAAGUCGAACGGCAGCACGGGUGCUUGCACCUGGUGGCGAGUGGCGAACGGGUGAGUAAUACAUCGGAACGUACCUUAUCGUGGGGGAUAACGCAGCGAAAGCUGUGCUAAUACCGCAUACGCCCUGAGGGGGAAAGCGGGGGAUCGAAAGACCUCGCGCGAUUAGAGCGGCCGAUGCCUGAUUAGCUUGUUGGUGGGGUAAAAGCCCACCAAGGCGACGAUCAGUAGCUGGUCUGAGAGGACGAUCAGCCACACUGGGACUGAGACACGGCCCAGACUCCUACGGGAGGCAGCAGUGGGGAAUUUUGGACAAUGGGGGCAACCCUGAUCCAGCAAUGCCGCGUGAGUGAAGAAGGCCUUCGGGUUGUAAAGCUCUUUUGUCAGGGAAGAAACACCGGCUCUAACACAGUCCGGGAAUGACGGUACCUGAAGAAUAAGCACCGGCUAACUACGUGCCAGCAGCCGCGGUAAUACGUAGGGUGCGAGCGUUAAUCGGAAUUACUGGGCGUAAAGCGUGCGCAGGCGGUUAUACAAGACAGGCGUGAAAUCCCCGGGCUUAACCUGGGAAUGGCGCCUGUGACUGUAUAGCUAGAGUGUGUCAGAGGGGGGUAGAAUUCCACGUGUAGCAGUGAAAUGCGUAGAUAUGUGGAGGAAUACCAAUGGCGAAGGCAGCCCCCUGGGAUAACACUGACGCUCAUGCACGAAAGCGUGGGGAGCAAACAGGAUUAGAUACCCUGGUAGUCCACGCCCUAAACGAUGCUGACUAGUUGUUCGGGAUUUACAUCCUGAGUAACGUAGCUAACGCGUGAAGUCAGCCGCCUGGGGAGUACGGUCGCAAGAUUAAAACUCAAAGGAAUUGACGGGGACCCGCACAAGCGGUGGAUGAUGUGGAUUAAUUCGAUGCAACGCGAAAAACCUUACCUACCCU